UACGUAGGGUCCGAGCGUUGUCCGGAAUUAUUGGGCGUAAAGAGCUCGUAGGCGGUUUGUCGCGUCUGCUGUGAAAUCCCGAGGCUCAACCUCGGGUCUGCAGUGGGUACGGGCAGACUGGAGUGCGGUAGGGGAGAAUGGAAUUCCUGGUGUAGCGGUGGAAUGCGCAGACAUCAGGAGGAACACCGAUGGCGAAGGCAGUUCUCUGGGCCGUAACUGACGCUGAGGAGCGAAAGCGUGGGGAGCGAACAGG
rnacentral:rRNA from 1 species